GGGAGCCAGAUGAGGCACAUCUGGACAGCUGCGCCGAGGAACUGUGCGGCCCCUUCGCGGGCCCGACGUCAGCUGAGCACGUCCCCCACGUCCUCUCCUGCUAGACACUUUUAUUAUUCAUAUUCCCAAAGAAGCAACCGAGGAUCCAGGCUUAAAACUUUUUUUUUUUCCCGCUAAUUGAGACGGGGCCAGAUCUCAUCCCGCGCACAGUUUAAUUUUCAUGGGGCUCUGGGAUCAAAAGAACAGAAACAGCAACAACAAAAGCCCAGCCGCUGUCUGAUUUAAAACUGGCAAAGGGAGAAAAAUAGUGUUGAGUAAACAGACCGAGUUGGACAUGGGGAGUUUCAGAGGUCAUGCCCUCCCUGGAACCUUCUUCAUUACCAUGGGUAUUUGGUGGACCAUAAAGUGCACUCUGAAGUAUGCCUGCAAAAAGCACAAACGGACUUCCUACCUUGGUUCCAAAGCAUUAUUCCAUCGAAUGGAUAUUGUGGAGGGAAUUACAAUAAUUUGCAUGGCUUUAACUGGCAUGCUUGGAGAGCAGUUUGUUGCUGAAGGGCCCCACUUGGCUUUAUAUAACUAUAAAGAGGGCCAGUGGGUCCAACUCCUGAGCUGGCAUCAUUCCACCAUGUAUUUCUUCUUCGGGCUGGUGGGCGUGGCAAACAUCUUAAGGUUUAUCAUCAAUUCGUUUCCCAUUUCCUUAAUCAAAUUGCUGUUGUCGAAUGCCUUAUUUGUUGAGGCUUUUAUCUUGUACAACCACACUCAUGGCCGGGAAAUGCUGGACAUCUUUGUGCACCAGCUGCUGGUCUUGGCUGUCUUUGUGGCAGCCCUGAUAGGCUUCUUGGAGUUCUUUGUAAGGAACAAUGUCAUUGUGGAGCUUCUUCAGAUGACCUUUAUCCUGCUUCAAGGAAGCUGGUUCUGGCAGAUUGCUUUUGUCCUUUAUCCCCCUAGUGGAGGUCCUGCAUGGGAUUCAAUGGAUCAUGACAACAUUAUGUUUCUCAGCACAUGCUUUUGUUGGCAUUACACAUUACACAUUGUCAUUGUUGGAGUGAUUUAUGCCUUUGUUACUUGGCUGACAUCUGGGCCUCAUCCCCUUAGGGGCUGGGCAGCCUCCAAGAAUAAAGGCGACAUUCAAGGAGCCUCUCUAGCUCAUGUCAGCUCUCUUCCAUGGCCAAAAGAAGACUACUGUCUCUUCCUGUUUCAAAAGGCUUCAGACCCCUCUUAUCCACUUACAACUUUCUAGAAACCAGAAACUCCAUGUUUAUUUUCUCAACACUCCCCACCUCCAGACACCUUUAUCUUUUGUGACCACUUAGUCCCCUCUACCUGGCAUAUCCAAAUCAAACGCCAUAUCUUCUAUGAAAACUUCUGUGAUAAUUCUAGCCCUCAUUUCCCUUCAUGAGUUUGGAUAGUACUUGAAUCGCUACUAUUCAUUUUAACAAUUGUGAUAUAUCUUUACUAUUAGCCAGUCUUAUCUGCUACCUAGGUUGUAUCACUUUAAGGAAAAGACCCUUUUCAUAUCUUAUCUGCUACCUAGGUUGUAUCACUUUAAGGAAAAGACCCUUUUCAUAUCUUAUCUGCUACCUAGGUUGUAUCACUUUAAGGAAAAGACCCUUUUCAUAUUUUACAUGGCUGUUGGCAUGCCAUCAAACACGCAGUAGGUAUUCAUUAAACACUUAUUUGCAGUUUUAAUAGAUCUACUCAGUUACAUGAGUAUGGGCUUUAUUUGUUUGGAAAUCAUGUUUCAGAUGCUUUUCAGUUUUGCUCUCAUAUUGCUUUGGAAAUAUAAGACCAAGAGCUCAUGUUAUGAGGUUGGUUAAAUCUCGACUUAAGAGGUUCUGCUCCUCAGAAGUUGGACUCCUGAAAAAUACUGAACGAGAACAAGAAUCAGAAGAAGAGAUGUGAUUUUGAGGGCCAUCUAGUCUUUCUGGAUGAACUUUUCUUUUUUGGAAUAUUUUUGUUCAUGGUUUUGUUUUUUGAUCUUUUGCUUGGAGAACAGGUGGCUGAGGAUGAUUCUUGGUGUAUUGUUUGUAUUUCCAAUUUGCUUAAAGUAUUUGAAUUCAAAUAUUUUGUUUUUAGAUUUGUAAGUACUUUGGAUGAUAAAUGCAUUUUGCACAUAAGUCAUGGUAUUUGGGGCCUGGAGUGACUGUUUCCAGAUGAUUUUAAGUCUGAUGCCCAUGCUAAGAAAAAUGUGUUAUUUACCUUAUAGAUAUGCUCAAGGUUCCUGGGCUUGCUAUCAUUUGUAAUUCAUUAAACAUGGAAUUACACUUGUUUAUCUUGUUGUUGCAAUGAGAAAUAAAGGAAUGCAGGAACCUUGGUUCAGACACCUCAA